rnacentral:rRNA from 1 species
UACGUAGGGUGCGAGCGUUAAUCGGAAUUACUGGGCGUAAAGCGUGCGCAGGCGGUCUUGUAAGACAGGUGUGAAAUCCCCGGGCUUAACCUGGGAACUGCACUUGUGACUGCAAGGCUGGAGUACGGCAGAGGGGGAUGGAAUUCCGCGUGUAGCAGUGAAAUGCGUAGAUAUGCGGAGGAACACCGAUGGCGAAGGCAAUCCCCUGGGCCUGUACUGACGCUCAUGCACGAAAGCGUGGGGAGCAAACAGG